rnacentral:rRNA from 1 species
GACGAGCUCUCCAAACGUUAUUCGGUAUCACUGGGCUUAAAGAGUUCGUAGGCGGCUUUGUAGGUGGGGUGUGAAAGCCCUCGGCUCAACCGAGGAACUGCGCCCCAAACCACAGGGCUUGAGGGAGAUAGGGGUAAGCGGAACAGAUGGUGGAGCGGUGAAAUGCAUUGAUAUCAUCUGGAACACCGGUGGCGAAGGCGGCUUACUGGAUCUUUUCUGACGCUGAGGAACGAAAGCUAGGGUAGCGAACGGGAUUAGAUACCCCGGUAGUCCUAGCCGUAAACGAUGAGCACUAGUCUGAGGAUCUGUCACAGAUUCUCGGACGUAGCGAAAGUGUUAAGUGCUCCGCCUGGGGAGUAUGGUCGCAAGGCUG